GUGGGGAAUAUUGCGCAAUGGGCGAAAGCCUGACGCAGCGACGCCGCGUGGGGGAUGAAGGCCUUCGGGUUGUAAACCUCUUUCAGCGCCGAAGAAGCGCGAGUGACGGUAGGCGCAGAAGAAGCACCGGCUAACUACGUGCCAGCAGCCGCGGUAAUACGUAGGGUGCAAGCGUUGUCCGGAAUUAUUGGGCGUAAAGAGCUCGUAGGCGGUUUGUCGCGUCUGCUGUGAAAACUCGGGGCUCAACUCCGGGCUUGCAGUGGGUACGGGCAGACUAGAGUGCGGUAGGGGAGACUGGAAUUCCUGGUGUAGCGGUGAAAUGCGCAGAUAUCAGGAGGAACACCGGUGGCGAAGGCGGGUCUCUGGGCCGUAACUGACGCUGAGGAGCGAAAGCGUGGGGAGCGAACAGGAUUAGAAACCCGAGUAGUCC
rnacentral:rRNA from 1 species